CGUCGGUCCAGCAAUGGAUGGGCAUAGGUCCUGGCUGGGCCAAUCAGGCUCUGUUCUCUAGGGCUUUGGCGCGAAAAGACGCCAGGUCCAAAAAGAAAAAGAGGGAAAAAAAGAAAAAGGAAGAGGGAGUGUGAGAUUGCAGGAGUAAAUAUCGAUCUCGAUCAACGUUGGUGUAAAAGGACCCUGCCUUUCAGGAGGUCAUUUCGCCCCCAACAAAAGACUACACUUCCCAGCGACCCUUGCAGAUCGGAAGAGCCGAGUCGCUCUAAGGCGGAGCCGCAGCAACUUCCGGCACCCUGGUAGGCUGGGCUAGUCGCGUUUUGCCACGGCGGCUGCUCUACGUGAAGUGUUGUGGACCUCAGCCUCCUUCAAGUCCACGUUUAAUGAAAUACUGAUAAAGAGGAUAGCUUGCAGAAAGAGGAUACCUUGCAGAAAGAGGAUACCUUGCAGAAAGAGGAUGUAGGAUGGGAAAUAUCACUGUGGCAGUUUUGGAAAACGCCAUUUGCCACAAAGACCUGUGAGAGCCUAAAUACUGAAGAGAUUACACUCCUCCCACCACCCAAAUGUAUUCAAAUGCAAACAGCUUUAGACUGUAAAAUAGGGGCAACGCAGCCCAGGGGUUGCCUCUGCUUUGCUGGUGCCCUGAGUGUGUGCUCAAACUAUAUGGUGGAUGCUCCAGCCUGGGGGAACGGUGUUUUGGGCAGAGGGAGCAGCACAUGAAAAUAAGUUAAACAGCGUGGUUAGGUACACGUGGAUGGGUAGUAACCAGAGUGAGAAUGGUGAUUCAUGAUGCUGGAAGGCUGAGAAGAAACAGAUCAGAAAGAGCCUUGUGCACCAAUCAUAAUACUGAGCAUCGAUGACAACAGCCUUCUUUUGUUCUUAAUACUCUAAGCACUUUUCAUAAGCACUCAUUUAACCACUCAACAACCCUGAGAGGUUCGCACUGCUAGCAAGAGACAGAAAUGUGAUUUGUGCCCGGGAAGUCUUGCCCCAGAUCUGCUCCCUUAACUUCAUAUUACUAAUCAAAGGAGUUUGCACUUCAGCCUGAAGGUGAAAGUAUACUAUACAUAUGAUUGUAAUAUGCAGAAGAUCAAGUGCACUGGCCCAGCGUGGUGGCUCACGCCUGUAAUCUUAACACUUUGGGAGGCUGAGGCAGGAGGAUGGAUCACUUGAGGCCAGGAAUUUGAGAACAGCCUGGCCAACAUGGUGAAAGUCUGUCUUUACUAAAAAAAAUGCCAAACUAAGCCAGCUGUAGUCCCAGUUACUCAUGAGGCUGAGGCAGGAGAAUCGCUUGAACCCGGGAGGCAGAGGAGCAGUGAGCCGAGAUGGUGUCACUACACUCCAGCCUGGGCGAUGAAGCGAGACUCCAUCUCAAAUAAAAAAAGUAUCAAUCUUAGAGUACAAACUUACGAGUUUUACACAUGUGCACAUCCGUAUAAUCACUCCUAGGCUGGUUUCCAUUUCCACACACCAAGUCUCUCUCAUACCCUUCUCCCUGUCACUAUGUAUGCCUAACCCCAGGAAACCAUUCUUCUGACAUCUAGCACCUCCAUCGCCUGUUCCCGGACUUCAUGAAGAGCACCUCCUGGCACAUUCCGUCUGCACCCAGGAGGGGAAUUGCUAGAUCACAGCUGCUGCGCUACACCUUCAUUUAACGACUAACCAGUUUUGCUGCUGGUUCUGCAACCAAGCCCUGGCCAAACACCCCUAGAUCGCGGGUAACUUUCUAGAUCGUGGUCAACUUAGCAAGCUGCCGUUGACAGUCCUGGGUAGAACGUCUCUGCUUCAAUCUGUAAGAGUUAUGACUGGUGAAAGUGAGGCCAUGUCACUUCCAAGUCCAGGUGAGAUAGCUUCUUCCUUGUUCCCGGGAAGUCUAACCCCAGACUUGCUCUUGGAACCCAGCUGCUGUACUAUCAGGAAGUCCAGGUUACAUGAAGAAGUAACAUGGAGUGUUCCGGUUAACAGCCCCAGCUGAGGUUCCAGCCGACUAGUGUCAACUGGUAGACAUUUCAGCAAAGCCUUUAAAAUGAAUCAAGUACCAGCCACUAUCUCCCUGCAAGUGUAUGAGAGACCCUGGGAGAACCAUACCAACCAACUUCCAAAACCAUGAAAAAGUAAAAUAAAAUGUCACUGUGCUAAGGCACUAAGUUUUAAAGUGAUUAACAGUUAUUAUGGGGCCCUCUCCUUCCCCAUCCAGAUCAUCCUACUUUCUUUUCUUUUUUUUUUUUUUUUUUUUUUUUGUGACAGGCUUGCUCUGUUGCCCAGGCUGGAGUACAGUGGUGCAGUCAUGGUUCACUGCAACCCCUGCCUCCUGGGUUCAAGCAAUUCUCAUGCCUCAGCCUCCCAAGUAGCUGAGACUACAAGCAUGUGCCACCACACCUGGCUAAUUUUUGUAUUUUUAGUAGAGACAGGAUUUCACCAUGUUGACCAGGUUGGUCUUGAACUCCUGGCCUCAAGUGAUCCUCCCAUUUCAGCCUCACAACGUGCUACUGAGAUUGCAGGCAUGAGCCACCGCACCCGUCUUUUUGUUGUUUGUUUAUUUGUAGACAGCCAGUUGCCCAGGCUAGAGUACAGUGGCACAAUCAUGGUUCAUUGCAACCACUGCUUCCUUGGCUCAAGUCAUCCUCUCCCUUUGGCUUCCCAAGUAGCUGGGACCAUGGGCAUAUGCCACCAUGCCUGGCUAAUUUUUAAUUUUUGUAUUUUAAAUUUUAUUUUGUAGAGAUGGGUUUUCGCCGUGUUGCCCAGGCUGGUCUUGAACUCCUGAGCUGAAGUGAUCUGACUGCCUCAGCCUUCUAAAGAGCUGGGAUUACAGACAUCAAUCACUGCACCCAGCCCCCCUACUUGAUUUUCUUUCUUUUUUUUUUUUUUUUUUUUUUUUUGGGGGGGGAGGAAGGCAGGAAGGAAGGGAAG